AGUGAACGCUGGCGGUAUGCCUAACACAUGCGAGUCGAACGGCAGCACAGUAAGAGCUUGCUCUUACGGGUGGCGAGUGGCGGACGGGUGAGGAAUACAUCGGAAUCUACUUUUUCGUGGGGGAUAACGUAGGGAAACUUACGCUAAUACCGCAUACGACCUACGGGUGAAAGCAGGGGAGCUUGGGACCUUGCGCGAUUGAAUGAGCCGAUGUCGGAUUAGCUAGUUGGCGGGGUAAAGGCCCACCAAGGCGACGAUCCGUAGCUGGUCUGAGAGGAUGAUCAGCCACACUGGAACUGAGACACGGUCCAGACUCCUACGGGAGGCAGCAGUGGGGAAUAUUGGACAAUGGGCGCAAGCCUGAUCCAGCCAUACCGCGUGGGUGAAGAAGGCCUUCGGGUUGUAAAGCCCUUUUGUUGGGAAAGAAAAGCAGCAGGUUAAUCCCCCGCUGUUCUGACGGUACCCAAAGAAUAAGCACCGGCUAACUUCGUG
rnacentral:rRNA from 1 species